rnacentral:lncRNA from 1 species
UUUAGUUUUUGCAGAUUCGGGCCGAAUUUUCAGAAGGAUGACGAAACUACCCCUCUUUCAAAAUUCAUAAAAAUUAUAUACUUUAAAUGUCUAGAAAAAUACAACUGUUAAGCCAAUAUGUAUAAAACUUCUUGAAAAUGAUAACUGCUAAGCCAUAAUUAUAUGCAUGUACCUUUCUUGUAAAACAAGAAACCUCAUUCAAGAGAAAAUAAAAAAAAUAAAGAUUAAUUAAUAAGAAGAAAGAGUGCAAAAUCCUCUCAAAUAGUGUAACAAUCUCUUCAAAAUAGUGCAAUAUCUGUAUAAGUAGUGCAACAUAUGCAUUGUUAAUACACAUUUUGCAUGAUUUUUACACUAAGUUACGUACAGUUUAGUAUAUUACACAAAAAUAAUAUAAUAUAUUACAAUAUAUUAUAAAAAUUAUACAAUAUAUGUACAAACGGUGCAUAUUUUACACUAUUUAUACAUAUAUUUACACCAUUUCUGUAAAUGUUGCACUAUUAUGAGAGAAUGUUGCACCAUUUAGAUGUGUGUUGCACUCUUUCUUUUUGAAAAUUAAAUUUCAUUGCAUAUUAAAUGAAGUGUAAAACUUCUUGGAAAUGACAACUGCUAAGCCAUAAUUACAUGCAUGUACCUUUCUCGUGAAACGAGAAACCUCAUUCAAGAGAAAAUAAAAAAAAUAAAGAUUAAUUAAUAAGAUGAAAGAGUGCAAUAUCCUCUCAAAUAGUGCAACAAUCUCUUCAAAAUAGUGCAAUAUCUGUAUAAUUAGUGCAACAUAUGCAUUGUUAAUACACAUUUUGCAUGAUUUUUACACUAAGUUACGUACAGUUUAGUAUAUUACGCGAAAAUAAUAUAAUAUAUUACAAUAUAUUAUAAAAAUUAUACAAUAUAUGUACAAACGGUGCAUAUUUUACAC